GUCAUGUCAGUCCUAUGCACACCCCGUCAAAUAAAGUGCUACCCUUAGUUUACUUUAUAUUUUUGCAUUAUUUACAGAGAUUCUUUGUAGGUUAAUAAUUGUUGAUUUUAUUUAUUUAUUUAUGUUAUUUGUUUGUUUUUCUAAGUGAGACUGUUAUGUUCCGGGGCUCUUGGUGGGGUUUUCCUGUGAGCCUUUUCCACCUCUUACCACCAGAUGGCGACAGGUUCCGGUUGGAGUGCGGUGGUGUCAUCAUCAUCCUCAGCUGUCAUCGAUUACCCUCAUCAGUGGAGCAUACUUUAGGAGUUGACCACCAGUCCAGUGUCGCCUGAGUGUUUGCCAGUCACGGUGAUCCCUUUGACACUCUGGACCCGCUGACUAGAUCCUGGCAGUUUUCCUGGUUUCAGAACCUCCCUCGUGACGCCGUGGAAAGUACCCACUGGUUGCCCGAGUUCCCAGACUCACCUCUCCAUUGUUUGCAAGUAUCUCCUGGAUCCCACGGCUGGCGGUCGAACCACUCCUCUGUCUCCGUUGCACCCGAGCCUACCUGUCCGUUCUCCGCCGCACUCCUGGACCCACUAAGAGACCGAGACCCUGGACAUACUCAGUUACCCUCCAAGAUUCAGAUCCAACCACCAAAAGUAAGAACAACCUGUGUUUGAUCUGAGAUUUCCAUGUUCCCACGACCCCUGAACUCACCAGUCUGCUUUUUCCCCUCGCAGUGAACCACUGCUGCUCGUAACCGUUGAUUCCCUGGACCAGACCACCUUGACACUUCCUGAUAAUUGUGUAAUCUUAAUAAAUCACUUAAACUGA